AUUUUUAUUGGGAUAUAAUUGAUAUAUAACAGUAAUUUCAGGUGUAUAAUGUAAUGAUUUGAUACAUGUAUAUAUUGUGCAAUGAUCAUCACAGGAAGUCUGUGAUGUUUAACAUCCAUCACCACACAUAAUUUUUUUCUUGUGAUGAGAACUUUAUGGAUCUACUUUCUUAGCAUAUAAUGCUUUUAAAAUUUUUUAUUAAAGUACAGUUAAUUUACAAUGUUCCUUCAAUUUAUGCUGUAAAGCAGAGUGACCCAGCCACCCAUAUACACACAUUUUUUUUUUCAUUUUCCAUCAUGUUCUAACCCAAGAAAUGGGACACAGUUCCCUGUGUUCUACAGCAGGACCCCAUCAACCAACCCGUUCUAAAUGUAAGAGUCUGCAUCUACCAACCCCAAACUCCCUUCCUCUCUCCCCUCCACCUCCCCCAUGGCAAACACAAAUAUACCCUUCAUGUCCAUAAUCAGUUUCUGUUUUGUAGAUAGAUGAUUUGUGCCAUAUUUUAUACACUACAUACACCAUGAUCAAGUAGCAUUUAUCCCAGGGAUGCAGGGAUUCUUCAAUAUCAGCAUAUACUGCUUUUAAGAUAAAAAAAUUGAAUGUAAUAUAUAUGAAUAUAUAUGGAUUUCAGCAGGCUAAACUGUAUACAAUCCUAUAACUUUUUUAAAAAUAUGAAGACAAAGUUAUUAGUAUAAAAGAAUGAUGAAAGGGAAUAAUAUAAAAAUGUAUACCAUAAAUUCCUGAAAUUAUUAAGGGUGGAGCUAGAUCUUACUCUGAAAUCCUGGAAAACUAUGCAAAAUUAUCAUAGAAAUGUUCCACUAUGAGUUGGAAGUAUACCAAUUAAUCAGAAAAGCAUGUCACUCCAGGCAUUGAAGUCUCAGUGUUUUGUUUUGUUUUAAUUCUUUUGUCACAGGCACAGAGUUGAAGGAGAAGGCAACAGGCCUAUAACAUCUUUCUGGUAAAUUGUUGGUGCCAUUGAUAGAACUCUUCUAUGGACAAGGUCACCUGGUAAACAGUUCUGGAAGAUGCUGUUCACAUCAUUGUCCCUGUGAAGGUGCCCCUACUUGGUAGCCCUGAAGACAUAUUUUGCCCAUCAGACUGAGGUCAUAAAAUUAAAUUUAGGAAAAAGAAUUCUAGAAGGGCUCAGCAUUAUUCAACUCUCCUGUGCCUGGACUCAUCCAGAGAUAAAAUGAGGAUUCUUCUGUCUGUGGGGAAGUUCUUUUCGAAUGUUGUUGCUCACUAGGAGCUGGGAUUACAGAGCAAUUCCUGGUCUCCGUGUGUCCCCCUGCAUGCUGAAAUUCUAAAGGCUUAAUAUUCUGUAUAUUUUGGGUUUGGUGCCUUUGUAUGAGAUUUAUUUUGUGGAAAAGGAGGAGAGAAUGUUUCUUCAGGAAACUGGAGUCUAGCAUUUGCCUCCCUCUCACAUUACAAAAUUUCUAAGAAAAAUUAAAAUGUAGACAGUCAUAUUCUCUGAUACAAGCAUUUAAGAAUACCAUUUUUAGCUUCUAAAUAUUCAAAGAGAAAAGUGCAGAAGUGGGGAACUACAUAGAGAGUACUGAUGAGGAAUGUAUCAUUUCUGGAGUCAGAUCAGACUGCGAAAUCUCUCUCUCCCCCCCAACCCCCCUUUUAGGGCUACACCUGCAGCAUGUGAAAUUUCCCAGGCUAGGAGUCAAAUCAGAGUUGUAGUUGCCGGCCUACACCACAGCCACAACACCACCAGAUCUGAGCCACAUCCACAAACAAUGCCACAGCUUGUGGCAAUACCAGAUCCUUAACCCACUGAGUGAGGCCAGGGAUUGAACCCACAUUCUCAUGGAUACUAGUCGGGUUCAUUUCCGCUGAGCCACAAUAGGAACUUCCAGGCCGUGAAAUCUUUAUGCCACUCCUUUGCUGUAUAACUGACCAAAUCAUUUACCUCCAUCUGUCUCAGUUACCACAUCCACAAAAUGGGAAUAAUGAUGCCCAGUUCAGAGGGCUGAUAUGUGAGGGAAGUAGAAUGAUCUACCUAAAGCAUGUACAAAGUGCCUGGAAGAUUUGGAGUGUUUAAGGUGGUGGGUUUUUGUUAUUAGGUAAAAAGGUGACAUGUAAGGAAAAUGGACAAAUAAAAGAAGGACCUGAGGUAUAGGAAAAACAGAGAAAAGCAAACAGUGUGGGCUUCAGUGACCUUGUGAAAGGAAGUCACUGAGUAAAAUGGGCCAUUUUGCACUCAAUGUCACUUGCCUACCUGGCCAUGUUCCCUUUUCAGUUCAUUACUUUGAUAGUUAUUGACGUGUGUGUUGCGAAAAGUCAUGACACUCAGAAGAGUCUUGAAAGGUCAUGAACAAGAGGGCUGGACAGAUGACUGUCACAGCCUGAGCUCAACCAAAGAAAUGCUGACUCUGUACAUUGUCAGUGCUCCAAUUUUCUCUGUUGCUUUAAUACUUUCUCUUUUCUGGAUUUUCCUGGUUGCAGGAUAAAUUAAAUCUACUGUGUUAAAAAAAUAAGGCCCUUCUGUGGUAAGCUAAUUGUUCAUACACAGCCAUCCCCUGGUAAAAUGCAUCUUGAGAGAUACGCUAUCAAAGCCCUAAAAAUUAUUUUUAAAACAAGAAGCUGUUAGGCCAACUUGGGUUUCGGAUGAGGCUGAACUUGCCCAGCCUCUGAGGAUGGCAUGAUUUCCUGUUGUUCCUUGGGGGUCUUAUCUGAAAUAGAACUGGAGGGAAAGGCAAAAUGAUUGACAAGGGCAGUUGAUGGGAGCUCAGGUGUCCUGCUGUGGGGCUCACUCAGGAUUCCAAAUUAAAGUCAGCCAGGGCCCCAUGCUGGCUUGUGCUGCCCCAUGCAGACAAUGAGUCAGUUCUGUGCUAAGUACUUACAAUGUACAGAUUAGCAAAUACAAAAGUUGAGGGUCUCAGUACAUCCUUGUCUUUGAGAAACAAGCAGGGUGUUAGUUGCAAUUAUGAGGAAGUUGAUUGGGAGCUGAUGUGUACCUUUAAAAACACUUUCCAGGCUUUAUGUAUAUUUCCGUGUGGUUAUUACCAGAUUCCUUGCAUUUUAUUGUAUAAUUCCAUUCAAAUAAUAUUUAUUAUCCUUCUUCUGUCCUUCAAAAGCCUUGAUUAAUAUGCUUGGACCUAAAAACAGUUACGGAGUACUGACUUUGUUUUUCUACAGACAUUAAAUCCUCACUCUGGAUUUCUACAGUAAAUAGCCCUCUAUUAGUUUCACAUAACUAAGGUUUCUUAAGACAAUACAUAAUGCACCAAAACCAACACAGUGAAUGAUUGAGCUAUGAUUUGAAUCAAAUAUUUAGGUACCUAUGAGUAAAAUGCAGUACCUGCCUUCAGAAAGCCCAGACAUCUAGGAGAGUAACAUACUAACAGAUGACUGCAACUCAAGAUAGACCAAGGUUAAUGCAAUAAUGUAAUGAGUGUCUAGCUUAGAACUUUGCACAUAGUAGGCAAUCUAAAAUGUAUAUGGUAUUAAUGAAGAGAGAUAAUGCUUGAAAAACUGACCAAUGAAUAUAAACCCCCCCUUGAGUAUGAACUCUGAAAUAGUGCUCCUAUGUCAACCAACACAUCUUCAACCAAGGAGUAAGAUAGGCUGUCAAAAGAAUGGCAUGGGACUUAAGUAAAUUUAAUCUAUUAUCUUCAGAAGAACUUUUCCAGGGAGUUUCCACUAUGGCUCAAUAGUAAUGAACCCAACUAGUAUCCAUGAGGAUGCAGGUUCGAUCCCUGGCUUCUCUCAAUGGAUUAAGGACCUGGCAUGGCCAUGAGCAGUGCUGUGGGUUGCAGGCACAGCUCUGAUCCCACAUUGCUAUGGCUCUACUGUAGGCUGGCAGCUACACUUCUGAUUGGAACCCUAUCCUGGGAACUUCCAAAUGCUG
rnacentral:lncRNA from 1 species